CCUACGGGAGACAGCAGUAGGGAAUAUUGCUCAAUGGGGGAAACCCUGAAGCAGCAACGCCGCGUGGAGGAUGAAGGUUUUCGGAUUGUAAACUCCUUUUGUUAGAGAAGAUAAUGACGGUAUCUAACGAAUAAGCACCGGCUAACUCCGUGCCAGCAGCCGCGGUAAUACGGAGGGUGCAAGCGUUACUCGGAAUCACUGGGCGUAAAGAGCGCGUAGGCGGGAUAGCAAGUCAGAUGUGAAAUCCUAUGGCUUAACCAUAGAAGUGCAUUUGAAACUGUUAUUCUAGAGUAUGGGAGAGGUAGGUGGAAUGCUUGGUGUAGGGGUAAAAUGCGUAGAGAUCAAGAGGAAUACUCAUUGCGAAGGCGACCUGCUAGAACAUAACUGACGCUGAUGCGCGAAAGCGUGGGGAGCAAACAGGAUUAGAUACCCUUGUAGUC
rnacentral:rRNA from 1 species